GCCUCGCCGGCCUGGGGAGCACUGCGCACGCGCGCCCGCUAACGGGUCUGUGGCGGCCGCCGGGUUGGCGCCUGGCGGGCGUCGUUCGAGCGGGGGGCGGAUGAGGGGGGCGCCGAGGCCAUGAGCUCCCGGAAAGUGUUGGCCCUGCAGGCCCGAAGGCGCCGCGCCAAGCACCCGUCGGCAGCCGGCGGGAAAGACAAGCAGCAGCCGCCGCCGCAGCGCAAAAA